CCAGCACUGACCUGCAUGGAAACAACCUCUUCCUGGUGGCAGUGCAUGAGCUGGGCCACGCGCUGGGGCUGGAGCACUCCAGCAACCCCAAUGCCAUCAUGGCGCCGUUCUACCAGUGGAAGGACGUUGACAACUUCAAGCUGCCCGAGGACGAUCUCCGUGGCAUCCAGCAGCUCUACGGUGCGUGGGCUGUGACCAGCGGGCUCUGCAUGCCGCUCUCAAGUCCCUGGCCAAUGAGGAGUAGGCAUUGCUGCCAUCCCCAUUUUGUAGAUGAGGAACCCAAGGCUCAGUGAGGAUUAGUGACUUGCCCACAUCAUUUGGGGAAUAAAUGGUGGUACUGGAAAUGAAA
rnacentral:lncRNA from 10 species